rnacentral:rRNA from 1 species
AUUGAACGCUGGCGGCAGGCCUAACACAUGCAAGUCGAACGAUUGGCGGACGGGUGAGUAAUGUCUGUGACCCUGCCUGAUGGCGGGGGAUACCUACUGGAAACGUUAGCUACUACCGCAUACCAUCAGCUGUGCCCAGAUGGGCUUAGCUAGUUGUUGGGGUAACGGCUCACCAAGGCGACGAUCCCUAGCUGGUGUGAGCGGAUGACCAGCCACACUGGAACUGAGACACGGUCCAGACGCCUAGGGGAGGCAGCAGUGGGGAAUAUGGCACAAGGGGCGCAAGCCUGAUGCAGCCAUGCGGCGGGUAUGAAGAAGGCCUUCGGGUUGUAAAGUACGUUCAGCGGGGAGGCGUUACCCGCAGAAGAAGCACCGGCUAACUACGUGCCAGCAGCCGCGGUAAUAC